GGAUCACUUUUCAAAGAUUGUAAAAGAAGUUACGUGGAUAGUGUGUGUUAUGCAGCAAGGAAAGGAAUGGAAAAUCAGAAGACGUGUUUAGAUCACACAAACCAGAGGUGAAAGCUGAAUCUGAGAGGCUUCUGUUUCCAGCAAUAAGGCCAAUAAUACCCCAAGCUCCUGACUGAAACCAAACACUCUGGAGGGACACUCUCACAUGCAGGCCAGAAGGAAUUUGAAUAGAAGGAAACAGGCUAAAGAAGAGAGCUCAUGGCAAAAAUUACAAACCAUACAAGGAAGGCAUUCACCACAGUGAGAGUGAGUAAAAACAGCAGAAUUACAACCUAAAACUUGAGAUAAUAUGACGACAGUCUGAAG
rnacentral:lncRNA from 10 species